GCCCCCGCCCCGCCCCGCGCCCGCCGGUGCCCGCCGCCGGUCACGUGACGCACGGGGAGGGGAGGGGGGGGCCCCGCGGCGCGGCGGCUCCUCCACGGGCGGGGGAGGAGGAGGAGAGGGGGCGGGACGAGGCGCGGAGGCCACGCCCCCGCGGCGCCGCUAUUGGCUGGCGGUGGGUGACGCGCUUGUUUCCAUGACGUCGCGGGGCGGGGCCGCGGCGUUUGAUGGAGGCCGGCGGGCUCGGCGGGACGGUGACUUUGCCACCGGCGGCUCCCGAGGGGCGGGGCGCGGCGCGGCGGGGCCGGGCGGCCGCGCGCCUCUGCGUGUGCGCGCCCGGCCGCGUGUGCGCGCCUCGCCUGCCCGCCGCGCGUGGCGGGCCUGGGGGCGGCCCCGGCCUGCGAGAGCCGUUGUGGAGGAGGCCGGGGGGGGGGGGGGGUGACCGCGUGAGGCGCCCUAACGGCCCGCAGCCGGGGGGGCCGGGGCAGCACUGGGGGAACGGGGAAUGAAACCAAAGCCCGGCUGCUUCAGCGCGGCGCCCGCACCCUCUGGCUGGGUGCUGCCAGGCCCCGCGGCCGGCCCUGAACACCCCCGGCUCCCCACAGGUCGUGCUGCUCCCCGCACGCCCGCCUCGCCCAGCGCUCCCGCUGCAGCCCCCCCGGGUGCCGCAGAGCCGGGGGAGGUCCGGCGGCAGGGCGAAGGCAGCGCUGAGCAGCCCGCGGCACCGGCAGAUAAAUCGGUCGCCCUAGUGGCGUGGCUGCCGUGCCUCCUUCUCCCCCCUCCCCUACCUGAGUCCCUGCCCCAUCUCCCUCCUCGCUCAGGCGAGGCAGUCAGAGACACCGUGAGCAGUAAUUGGCUCCUGCCCGUUUGGGAUGGUGCUAAAAAUACCGCCUUACCUCCGCAUAUCUAGAGGUCGACUGAAAAAAAUCAAAAUACCGAGCUCAGCACCCUCCUCGGCACGGAUCGCUGGCGCUCGGCGAGGCUUCCCUGGCUGCUUGGAGCUGCAAUUCUCCAUACAGCUUGACAAGAGGUGUUGUUGUGCACAGAUCUGUCAUAUCUGCCAGCUCUCGGGCAGACAAAAUUAGCUUUGGUGCAGCUAAGAAGGAGAUGAUGUGCUUAACGCAUUGCAGUUUGGGUACGUCUGUACCUGCUUCCUCUUCUCUCCAGGGAAGCUAAGUAGCCUAUGCUUCAGUUCUUCACCUACCAGAUGGGAAUAACUCCCCUUGGUUGUCUUUGAAGGAAGGAAGCCAUGGUCAGAGGGACAUAUAUCAACAUUCAUUUUUUGCAACGCUGUUAUAGUAGAAUGCUCCAAGUGGACAUAUUUUUCAUGGCACAAAAUAAUUAUUUAAUGUUCCUCUUGAUCUUUUGUACGAGGACAGUAUAAAAACAUAAACACAUUGCUUGAAAGUAAGAAGAAAUUUCUUCUGGCUCUACAAAAUCUUCUCCCUCGGAAUUUCAAAAUGUUUUUCAACUUAAUCCUCAAGCUACAAUAUUCUUCAUGCUUUUUGUGCUGCCACAACACAGCAGCAUUAUGGCCACAGACCAGAGAGUGAAGAAAGACAUCUUGAGAACAAAGGCACAACAUCUACAUGCAAAGAAUCAAAAUAACAAAGUAUAAAAUCCUACAAUCUGGCCCAUUAAAGGACUUGGACCAAGCAUUAGAGAGAAGAAAAAAGAGAGGAGAGCAGGGUAACCAUGCUUAACACUGCUAUAAAGAGCAGAAAAGAACAAGUUUGGGACGCUUUUCAUGAUAAAAAAUUAAAAAAAAAAAGGCAUGGGUAUGAUGAGACAGUGUGACCAUGGAUGCCUCUUAGAAAGUGAUAAGUAUCUGGUGAAUGAAUGUGUUCUGCAAAUUAUCUGCUAGCAGAGCGCAAAAAUACAUACAGUGAUCACCCAGCCACCUCUACCCCCAGGACAUUUCCUCUAUGGCGCUUUCCCAAUUUGGAGUGUUCCUCCUUGCUUUCUCCCCAGUGGCAAAACACUUCUCACUUCGUGCUUGAAUUCCUAAAGAAUGGCAAAAGUCCUGAGUAAGGUAUAUCCUGGAAGCAUUUUGGUCCAAUUGACUAGGAAGAUUGGUUAAAAAUCACACUGCUGUAACCCAUUUCCCUGGAGCUAUUAGCCAUCACCUACCUCCACGCCUGUCCUUGAUAUGGAUACAGAUAUGUCAGGCAGCUCUCCUGUCAUCCCAUGAUGCAAAAUGUGGGAAUAUCCGUUGCUAUUAACAAGGUGCAAAAGUGCUUUUGGGGCGUUCACGGUAUGUACAAUGCCACACUGAAACAAAAAGUGUUAGUUCCUUUGAUUUUUCCUAUUGUGGAUGCUUUAAGAUGUGUUGCUUUAUAAGUCAGGGUCUUAUCUUUAAGAGCAUAUGGUCAGCUGAUGUUAGUUUGUGAGGCUCCAUUGAGUUCACUGAUGUUGUGGGCCUGUUCCAAUUCACGCUGACUGAGUAUCUGUUUCAUAAAUUGCAAUGUUGUGAUAUGCUGCUCUGUGAUCAAGUGAUAAGUAUUUUGUUUAUUUUUCCCUUCCCUCUCCCCCCAAAGAUAAGAAGCAACACGGGUAACCAAGCUCUGUCUCUCUGAGGUUAACAUCAACAUCACUGACCAGUCUGACUCACACUCCUGACUCACAGAAAUUAGUUUUAGAAAGAGUAAAUAUAGCCCCUCCUCUCUCUCAUCAGUGCUGGGUAAUUGUCUUGAGUAGAACAAAAAAUUGUCUCUUAGUAAUGCUUCUUCAAAGUCCUUUGGAUAAGAAAAUAGAUAAUUCAGUUAAGCCUUGGGUUCCUUCAGCAAACAUUAGCAUUUCUGCCCCUUGGCGAUUGUUCAAGAUGGUUUUGAAACAUUUAAGAGUCAUUAGAGCUAAUAGCUCCCAUUCUGAAUUUCCUUCAAGGAAGAGUAUCAGAAAAAAUGCACCACCUUAUUCCCACUACCUUAAUCAAGAAUUAAUCAUUCAAGUGAUAAACAGUGACCGGAACAUAUUUGAAUAAAUUAUUUGUUUUCUUUGUUGACCAGAUACAGCUCUAAAUCAUCUUGUCUGUUUUUAAGAUGCUAACAAAAACAUACCACCUGCUUAAAAUUGCAUUAAAAAAAAUAAUAAUAAUGACCUAUCUUACAUACAUAGUUUAAAACUUUGGACACAAGCCUUAUGAGCCUUAUUCAGAAAUAAUUGUUUCUAGACUAUGAAUUGCAGAUUUAAAGAUUAUGUGUCAAGAUCUAAAUUUAGAUAUCUGUGCAAAAGUGUGGAUGAGAUAUAUAGUAUUAAACCCUUAAUAUUAAUCAUGCUACAUACUAGUGCAAAUUAUAGUAAAAUCAUUACAUAAGAUGCUUAUAUUAGUGUUUAAAACCAGUACGCUUAGUGAAUUAGAUGAUGGUUAAUAACAAAAGGAAAGUGUUGACUGGGGUAUUGUCUCUGUUAUCAGGUAGUACUACAGCUAUGAAGGCAAAGGUGAGAAGGAACAAAGUUUGCAAAUAAUUUAGUGUUCCUUAUUAGCUCAUGAAACAGAGGAAAAUUGAAUGAGUUAAUGUGACAUCAGCUAUAUUUCUGUUAUCUAUUAGUAGAACAAAAAUCAAUAGCAUUUUCCUCUAACUUCCCUUUUGUCAAUUAGAUAACAUGGAAGCCUUGUAUUGAACCACCAGAGUUUAAAUACAUCAUGUUACAGACACAUAUAGUAAUAGGACCGCUGUAGGUUAUUUUCAGGCCGUGACAUGUUAUGCAGCAGAAAAGGCAGCUUGAUUUAGGACAGAAGUGGAUUAAAAGAUACAAAAAUGUUUUGUACAUGGUAGCAGUCCAAACAUUGACAGAUUUAUUAUCUUCAUUUCUGACUGUAUUCAGUAAAAGUUGCACAUGCUUACUAAUUGCUAAAACUGACGCACCUAGGUUACUAAAAAUACCUUUGACUGAAAGGGAUUUAAAAAUUAAUCCCAUAAAAGUCUUAUUUAUCUUUUGUGUUUAUUUCAGCUUGAUGUUAAACACAACCAAGUCCCUUUCACUAUGUGGUCAGCUCAGUGCUUUUCACAUUCAAAGCCUCAAAUCCUUGCAAGGGCAUUUGAAUUGCAAGCCAACUGAGAGCAUUUCACUGGGGUACCCGUGGCUGAUCUGUGGGACUACAUUUAGUAGUAAAUGUAUGACAUGUCCUUGACAGCAUAUCUAAUGGUCUUUCCUGUUGUAGCACAUUUGUGCAUGUUUUAGCUCUAUACAUUGAAUCUGGUGUUAUUUACUUACUCUUAUGAAUCAGCCUCUACAGGAAUGCAUGCUCUACAGGUAGCUGCAGAAACACUUAUAAUGGAACUGGGGCAUGGGAGAUUUAAAUCAAGCUCAACUAGAGUCACCUCUCUCCAUCGUCUGCUCUGGACACAGAAUAGUAGAGGGGAAACUUUUGUUUUAUAAUGGAGGUGAUCUAUGUGUUUAUACUUGUCUGCUGAAUGUGGGGCAAAAUGCAAAGGUGAACCAAUCAAGGGCUCAAUCGCAUAGGGCAGUUUCAGAAAAAGAUGCAGGUAGUAAUUUGGGAUUUUCUAGAGAUCUUUUUGUAGGACAUUCCUAGGCCCUGUUCCAUGAACCACACUCUUCCAUCCCCUUUGAUCCCUUACAUAACUUCCUCUUCUUUUUUUUUUUUUUUCCCCUCUUCCUCUUCCUUUACCUCUUUUCCUGUCAUGUACUCCAUCCUUCCAUUUUUUUUCAGCUUAAAGUAUUUUUUUUCUAAGUUACACCUCUCUCACAAUUCUGGCCAAACAAAGCAAAACCAAAAAAAAAAAAA